GACGAACGCUGGCGGCGUGCCUAACACAUGCAAGUCGAACGGAGAAUUUUAUUUCGGUAGAAUUCUUAGUGGCGAACGGGUGAGUAACGCGUAGGCAACCUACCCUUUAGACGGGGACAACAUUCCGAAAGGAGUGCUAAUACCGGAUGUGAUCAUCGUGCCGCAUGGCAGGAUGAAGAAAGAUGGCCUCUACAAGUAAGCUAUCGCUAAAGGAUGGGCCUGCGUCUGAUUAGCUAGUUGGUAGUGUAACGGACUACCAAGGCGAUGAUCAGUAGCCGGUCUGAGAGGAUGAACGGCCACAUUGGGACUGAGACACGGCCCAAACUCCUACGGGAGGCAGCAGUGGGGAAUCUUCCGCAAUGGACGAAAGUCUGACGGAGCAACGCCGCGUGAGUGAUGAAGGAUUUCGGUCUGUAAAGCUCUGUUGUUUAUGACGAACGUGCAGUGUGUGAACAAUGCAUUGCAAUGACGGUAGUAAACGAGGAAGCCACGGCUAACUACGUGCCAGCAGCCGCGGUAAUACGUAGGUGGCGAGCGUUGUCCGGAAUUAUUGGGCGUAAAGAGCAUGUAGGCGGCUUAAUAAGUCGAGCGUGAAAAUGCGGGGCUCAACCCCGUAUGGCGCUGGAAACUGUUAGGCUUGAGUGCAGGAGAGGAAAGGGGAAUUCCCAGUGUAGCGGUGAAAUGCGUAGAUAUUGGGAGGAACACCAGUGGCGAAGGCGCCUUUCUGGACUGUGUCUGACGCUGAGAUGCGAAAGCCAGGGUAGCGAACGGGAUUAGAUACCCCGGUAGUCCUGGCCGUAACAAAGGGGUAUUAGGGUAGGAAGUAUUGACCCCCUUCUUUGCCGGAGUUAACGCCAUAAGUACCCCCCCUGGGGAGUACGGCCGCAAAGGUUGAAACUCAAAAGAAUUGACGGGGGCCCGCACAAGCGGUGGAGUAUGUGGUUUAAUUUGACGCAACGCGAAGAACCUUACCAAGGCUUGACAUUGAGCGCCAUACCCAGAGAUGGGUAGUUCCCUUCGGGGACGUGAAAACAGGUGGUGCAUGGCUGUCGUCAGCUCGUGUCGUGAGAUGUUGGGUUAAGUCCCGCAACGAGCGCAACCCCUAUCCUAUGUUACCAGCAAGUAAAGUUGGGGACUCAUGGGAGACUGCCAGGGACAACCUGGAGGAAGGCGGGGAUGACGUCAAGUCAUCAUGCCCCUUAUGUCUUGGGCUACACACGUACUACAAUGGUCGGAAACAGAGGGAAGCGAAGCCGCGAGGCAGAGCAAACCCCAGAAACCCGAUCUCAGUUCGGAUCGCAGGCUGCAACCCGCCUGCGUGAAGUCGGAAUCGCUAGUAAUCGCAGGUCAGCAUACUGCGGUGA
rnacentral:rRNA from 1 species